AUGGUAAAGUGGGCGGAUCUUUGCAUGCCUAAGGACUGUGGUGGCCUGGGCAUCACUGCCUCCCGCUGUAUGAACAUUGUGCUCAUGUUAAGAUGGGUCUGGCGGAUCUUACGCGGCGAGGGAGGACUAUGGUUACAGUUCAUUCAAGUGAAAUACCUUAGGGGUGAGCCGAUCUUGGCAUGCAACCGGACGGAGGGCUCACAAUUCUGGCGAGCCAUCCAAAGGAUCAAGGAGGACAUCCGCCUAGGGAUCUCCUUCUCCUUAGGGAACGGGAAAGGGAUCCAAUUUUGGCUGGAUCCCUGGCUGGGUACUAAGCCAUUACGCGUUUGCUUCCCUAACUUAUUCUCGAUUUGUCUGGACUCAUAUGUACUAGUUUCUACGGCCUUCCAAGCUGGACAAUGA
rnacentral:rRNA from 1 species